rnacentral:lncRNA from 1 species
CAGCUAUUCAGGAGGCUGAGGAAGGAAAACUGCUUGAACCCAGGAGGCGGAGGUUGCAGUGACCUGAGAUGGGGCCACUGCACUCCAGCCUGGGCGACAGAGUGAGGCCCUGUCACAAAACAAAACAAUACAAAAAACCAAACUACCCUAUGGUUGUCAGGUCAUCAUUCAUAGUAAACUGCAGAUGACAGGAGGGCAAAAUACACCUGCCUCCUCAUCUGAGAGCAUACAUCCCUCGCUCCACAUUCUUAGCAAGAGUAAAGGAAAUCACCUCCUUACAAGGACUCAGUCUGCAAAAGACCAAAUGCAGCUGCUAUUAAGCUACUACCACCGUAACAAAGCACAGUGCUGAAGAGUUCAUAUCCUCAGCCCAGACAGCUCUUCUGAUUAAGCAGAUGUGAGAUUGAAUCACAUUCCGUGCCAUAAAUAGCAGUAUCUACAUCUUUUAAGGAGAGAAAAGUAAUUUCUAACACUAGAAUUUUUCCAGCUAGGUACAUGUCAUUCAUUUUACUAUUCUGUACAAAAUUUUCCACCAAAAAUAUAUCUAGUAUGUAUAUAACCUAACAAUGCACUGCAUAAAAUAUCCAACAGAUGCCCUACUACACCUUUCUUCCAACCCCAGGCUCAGGACGGCUUGCUCCUUACCCUGUCCAAAGCCAUGGCUUCUAGCUAAUACUCUGGACUGCCCUUGCCCACAGCCCCAGGGCCCUGGGGGCAAACGCCAUCCCCUAGGCUCCCGCUCACUGCUAUAAUCCCACACGCCUUCAGCAAAUCAACUGCCCCUUGACUGGGGUAAACACCUCAACCUUUUUUCCUUAUGUGCACUUUUAUAAAAAGUGGCUCUUACUAGUUACAGCAAACCAUUCAAGCAAGCUUUCAUAAAUAGAUCUACAUGCAUCAGGCACUUCUGAUAUUCCUGGCACUGUUACCCUCCAAGCAAAGUUUGAAAGAAAGCUAGCUCACUUUGUGAGGACCCAAAGUUUUCCCAGUAGGGAGCAGUUACAGGUAGGGAGAAUCAAAAUGGAAACACCAGCUGUGUGCAUUUCCAGCAUCCUAUGUCAUACUAUGGCUUCAAUUUUUGUUCUUUUUUAACUCAACAUCAGAGGAUAUUUAAACACCUGAAUAUCAAAAUACAAAAACAUGUCCAAAAGGCAAUGAAAAUGAGUUUGGGACCAUUUACCUCUUUGGACACUUCACGCCUUUUUGUCUUUACAUUAGAAAAUGGAAACUUAAGCCACGCACAGUCCCUUAUGCCUGGCCUAUAAACCCAAUAUUUUGGGAGGCUGAGGCAGGAGGAUCAGUUGAGUCCAGAAGUUUGAAACUAGCCUCGGCAACACAGUGAGACCGCAUUUGUACCAAAACAAACAAAAAAGUAAAACUAAAUUAGCCGGGCAUGGUGGUACAUGGUGGAUUGUGGUCCCAGCUACUAGAGCUGAGGAGGAUCACUUAAGCACAGGAGGUCCAGGCUGCAGUGAGCCACGACCAUGCCACUGUGCUCCAGCCCGGGAGACAAAGUGAGAUCGUCACCAUUAGGCAAAACAAAGGCAUGAUUUUAAAAAAAUGUUUCACAUUUAUUAUCAUUUUUGAGACAGAGUUUCGCUCUCGUUGCCCAGGCUGGAGUGCAAUGGCGUGAUCUCGGCUCACUGCAAACUCCGCCUCCUGGGAUUCUCCUGCCUCAGCCUGGGAUUAAAGGCAUGCGCCACCACGCCCCGCUAAUUUUGUAUUUUUUCAGUAGAGACUAAGGGGUUUCUCCACUUUGGUCAGGCUAGUCUCAAACUCCCGACCUCGGGUGAUCCGCCUGCCUCUGCCUCCCAAAGUGCUGGGAUUACAGGCAUGAGCCACUGCACUCAGGCCCACAUUUAUUGAACCAUCUAUCUCCUGAAAAAGAACAGGAGAGUCAGCCACAGGCAAAACCUUUAAGUAUGAAGACAAUAGUUUUCAACAGCACAAUAAACCUUACACCUUCAACAAAAGCAUGUCCUACUGCUGAGGCUCCACUGGGCCAAUGCACCAAGAGAAUUUAAAAUGCUUUAAAAAUGCAAACCAGGGAGGACCUCAGUGGGAAACAGGUCCUUGUCAUCAUACAAGGCAGUUAGGUAUUACAAUGCCUUCAUUUCUGAUCUGAAAAAUGGACAUGACUCCUACAUUUCUUCACAGUUGUGCUGGGGGGUGGGGGGGGAGUUCGUGUUGUUUUGUGUCUCGCUGUCACCCAGUGCAGUGCCGCGGAUCUCGGCUCACUGCAGUCUCUGUCUCCCAGGUUCAAUCAAUUCUCCUGCCUCAGCCUCCCGAGUAGCUGGGAUUAUAGGCACACCACCAUGCUCGGCUAAUUUUUGUAUUUUUCGUAGAGAUGGAAUUUCACCACGUUGGCCAGGCUGGUCUCUGACUUGAGGUCUCCUGACCUCAAGUGAUCCGACCACCUCG